UACGGAGGGUGCAAGCGUUAUCCGGAUUCACUGGGUUUAAAGGGUGCGUAGGUGGAUUGGUAAGUCAGUGGUGAAAUCUCCGGGCUUAACUCGGAAACUGCCAUUGAUACUAUCAGUCUUGAAUACCGUGGAGGUCAGCGGAAUAUGUCAUGUAGCGGUGAAAUGCUUAGAUAUGACAUAGAACACCAAUUGCGAAGGCAGCUGGCUAACACGAAUAUUGACACUCAGGCACGAAAGCGUGGGGAGUCAAACGGAAUUAGAUACCCGGUGGUAAGCUCCAU
rnacentral:rRNA from 1 species